rnacentral:lncRNA from 1 species
GGACGUCACACAUACAGAUCCAUGGGGCUCAAACUGUGUGAGGUGACGUGGACCCCACGGAAACUCACUGAGAGGCUGCAGGAAGGUUUAACUUUUCAAGGGAAGCACAGUGAUGCUUGGCCCCUGUGGGAUAACAUGGUUUGACGGUCUCUCCAUUAGACUGUGCAGCACUUACUGAAGAUGUCAUCUCUCUCUGAAAUCGCAUUUCUGGAAGUUGUUGGGAUUAAAACGACUCCAGUUUUGUUCAGGAAAUCGAGACGUCUCAUGCUUCCAGAGCUCUUCUCCAACCCCAAAGAUUGGCCAAUCCAGAGGUUCUUAACUUGAGUGGCCCAGCGCAGUGCCUCAGGGGACUUUUAAACAUCAGGAUGCGGAGAACAUGUUGGACCAGGGAAAUCAGUCACUGGGGAUGAGACUCAGCCAGCAUCAGUAUUUUGUAAAGCUCCCCAGGUAUGAUGGUUGAUUUUAUUUUAUUUUUUUAAUUUUUAUUUUACAUUGGCAUGUCGGGUUUGUUUUUUUUUUCUUUUUCUUUU